GACAGAGGGUGCAAACGUUGUUCGGAAUUACUGGGCGUAAAGCGAGUGUAGGCGGUCCGAAAAGUCAGGUGUGAAAGCCCUGGGCUCAACCCAGGAAGUGCACUUGAAACUGCCGGGCUAGAGUACUGGAGAGGUUGGUGGAAUUCUCGGUGUAGAGGUGAAAUUCGUAGAUAUCGAGAGGAACACCGGUGGCGAAGGCGGCCAACUGGACAGAUACUGACGCUGAGACUCGAAAGCGUGGGGAGCAAACAGG
rnacentral:rRNA from 1 species